GACGAACGCUGGCGGCGUGCCUAAUACAUGCAAGUCGAACGAACUCUGGUAUUGAUUGGUGCUUGCAUCAUGAUUUACAUUUGAGUGAGUGGCGAACUGGUGAGUAACACGUGGGAAACCUGCCCAGAAGCGGGGGAUAACACCUGGAAACAGAUGCUAAUACCGCAUAACAACUUGGACCGCAUGGUCCGAGUUUGAAAGAUGGCUUCGGCUAUCACUUUUGGAUGGUCCCGCGGCGUAUUAGCUAAAUGGUGGGGUAACGGCUCACCAUGGCAAUGAUACGUAGCCGACCUGAGAGGGUAAUCGGCCACAUUGGGACUGAGACACGGCCCAAACUCCUACGGGAGGCAGCAGUAGGGAAUCUUCCACAAUGGACGAAAGUCUGAUGGAGCAACGCCGCGUGAGUGAAGAAGGGUUUCGGCUCGUAAAACUCUGUUGUUAAAGAAGAACAUAUCUGAGAGUAACUGUUCAGGUAUUGACGGUAUUUAACCAGAAAGCCACGGCUAACUACGUGCCAGCAGCCGCGGUAAUACGUAGGUGGCAAGCGUUGUCCGGAUUUAUUGGGCGUAAAGCGAGCGCAGGCGGUUUUUUAAGUCUGAUGUGAAAGCCUUCGGCUCAACCGAAGAAGUGCAUCGGAAACUGGGAAACUUGAGUGCAGAAGAGGACAGUGGAACUCCAUGUGUAGCGGUGAAAUGCGUAGAUAUAUGGAAGAACACCAGUGGCGAAGGCGGCUGUCUGGUUUGUAACUGACGCUGAGGCUCGAAAGUAUGGGUAGCAAACAGGAUUAGAUACCCUGGUAGUCCAUACCGUAAACGAUGAAUGCUAAGUGUUGGAGGGUUUCCGCCCUUCAGUGCUGCAGCUAACGCAUUAAGCAUUCCGCCUGGGGAGUACGGCCGCAAGGCUGAAACUCAAAGGAAUUGACGGGGGCCCGCACAAGCGGUGGAGCAUGUGGUUUAAUUCGAAGCUACGCGAAGAACCUUACCAGGUCUUGACAUACUAUGCAAAUCUAAGAGAUUAGACGUUCCCUUCGGGGACAUGGAUACAGGUGGUGCAUGGUUGUCGUCAGCUCGUGUCGUGAGAUGUUGGGUUAAGUCCCGCAACGAGCGCAACCCUUAUUAUCAGUUGCCAGCAUUAAGUUGGGCACUCUGGUGAGACUGCCGGUGACAAACCGGAGGAAGGUGGGGAUGACGUCAAAUCAUCAUGCCCCUUAUGACCUGGGCUACACACGUGCUACAAUGGAUGGUACAACGAGUUGCGAACUCGCGAGAGUAAGCUAAUCUCUUAAAGCCAUUCUCAGUUCGGAUUGUAGGCUGCAACUCGCCUACAUGAAGUCGGAAUCGCUAGUAAUCGCGGAUCAGCAUGCCGCGGUGAAUACGUUCCCGGGCCUUGUACACACCGCCCGUCACACCAUGAGAGUUUGUAACACCCAAAGUCGGUGGGGUAACCUUUUAGGAACCAGCCGCCUAAGGUGGGACAGAUGAUUAGGGUG
rnacentral:rRNA from 2 species